GAACAGAAGCGUAUAGUAAUCCAGCUCCUAAAGAUUUCGAUAUCAAAAAAAGCCCAGGGCCAAGUCUCCCCACAAGGUCAUAGUAGGGAAUCUCCGUGCUGAUACAGUAGCUGUCAACUGCAGGUGCAGUUGGCAAAGCGGUAGCCAAGCAACGCUGGUAAAUACAAACAAGCGGGUGCCAGGCUCGUGCCAGGUGUGGGCGCACAUUCAACGUGGAGAGCGGACCUGUGUGCCAGCAAGGAAGGUGGUUACUGCGCAUGUGUAGAAUCUUCUACGUCAAAAACCAGCUAGAGAGGCCACUUUCGUUCCAGCAGUGCUGUGUGGUAUAUAGAAGCGGGAUAUAAGAAAGGAGAUACUGUCAUCUGGGAACUUGCACGCUGGUAGCCGCAAAGAUGAGCACUGGAGGAUUGCCAAGCAGCCUUUUAUUGCUUCACAGCUUCUUCUAGGUUAUACGGUAGCCACUAGCAAUAAUGCCAAAGCUUGCGGAGCCAAGUGAAAGGGCUCUACGUUUUUCAAAGCCUAAAGGUAAAAUAUUGGAGAUGAAAAUAAAAAAAUACAUUAUGUCCCAUUGGGGAGUCACAGAAAUCGUCAGAGAAAUGCUGAACCUUGGACCUUAGGUUGUAGCAAAAGUCAGCCAAAAGCUGGGGCAGAUGAAAUCAUUCAGCAUGGUGUAGAGGAAGACACCCUUGACCCAUUCACAUCUGUCUGUUGAACACUUUCACAGAAUAAAAACUUCGAAUUGAUUUCCAAACAUA